rnacentral:rRNA from 1 species
UAUUGGACAAUGGGCGAAAGCCUGAUCCAGCAAUACCGCGUGUGUGAAGAAGGCCUUAGGGUUGUAAAGCACUUUCAAUUGGGAGGAAAACCUGCCGGUCAAUACCCGGUAGCUUGACAUUACCUUUAGAAGAAGCACCGGCUAACUCCGUGCCAGCAGCCGCGGUAAUACGGAGGGUGCGAGCGUUAAUCGGAAUUACUGGGCGUAAAGCGUGCGUAGGCGGUUCGUUAAGUCAGAUGUGAAAGCCCUGGGCUCAACCUGGGAACUGCAUUUGAAACUGGCGGACUAGAGUUUAGUAGAGGGGAGUGGAAUUUCAGGUGUAGCGGUGAAAUGCGUAGAUAUCUGAAGGAACACCAGUGGCGAAGGCGACUCCCUGGACUAGAACUGACGCUGAGUACAAA